UACACAGUGAAAAUGCCAUGCUUGGGG
rnacentral:piRNA from 1 species